rnacentral:misc_RNA from 1 species
GUGAAUCAUCAAAUUUUUGAACGCAAAUUGCACUUUCUGGUAUUCCGGAAAGUAUGCCAGUUUGAGUAUCAGUUAAAUAAAAAUCAGCGUUGUUUCUGCCUUUCAUGGUGACGCGUCGAAAUUUGGUCGUCUGACCUUCGGUUAAGGGAAUUAAAAUUUUUUCAUGAUUUUCAGACGUAUUUAAAUCGCUUACUUACGUUUGAGUUAUCGAAUUCUUAUUAGGUUCGGUCGUU